AUGGCACUUUUCCUUUAUUCUUGGUGCUCAGAUUGCAUCCUUUAAUCAUCACCAUUCACCAUAGACAAGUUAACAAGUCAAGCUGAUCGAGACGCUCGCGCCAGAGGCUUCUUCCAAAGCAGGGAGAAGAGAAGAGAAGAGAAGAGGGAGCGAGCUAUGGGGUUCGGCAUGGUGUCCCUCAUCGACGGUUUCUUCCGGCGCGCGCUCACGUCCGCCGGCCUCCGCCCAGGCUCCGCCGCCGUGGACGCCGACACCACCAUCCACUUCUGGGCGCACCCCUCCCUCCUCCAGGCCCAGGCCCAGCCCUCCUCCGCGGCUCCGCGGCCGGUGGUGGUGCUGAUCCACGGGUUCGGGCCGGACCCGACGUGGCAGUGGGCGGCGCAGGCGGGCCCGCUGUCGCGCCACUUCGACCUGCUGGUGCCGGCGCUGCUCUUCUUCGGCGCGUCCGCCACGCGCGCCCCCGCGCGGUCCGACGCGUUCCAGGCCGCCGCGCUCGCCGCGCUGCUCGCGGGCGGCGGCCACGUCCCGGGCCUCGGCGGCCGGACCGUGCACCUCGUGGGCGCCAACUACGGCGGCCUGGUGGCGUACCACCUCGCCCGGGAGCUGGAGCAGCGAGGCGUCCGCGUCGGGAAGGUGGCGCUGUGCGACGCGGACGCGUGCUGGGGCGCCGAGGACGACCGCGCGCUGGCGGGUCGGAGCGGCGCGGCGGACGUGGUGGACCUGCUGGCGCCUGGCGACACCGCCGCGGUGCGGCGGAGGUGGAUGAUGACUGAUGAGCGCCUACCGCCCCUUCAAACACAUCCCCAAGUGCUUCCUCCGCGACCUCUUUCAGAAACACUUCGCGGACAACAGGGAGGAGAAGGUGGCGCUAGUCAAAGGGAUCACUGCCAAAGAAGGCUUCGAGCUGACUCCUCUACCUCAGGAGGUGUUCAUCAUCUGGGGUGAGUUCGACCAGAUCUACCCGGUCGAGAAAGCACACAAGAUGGGAGGGAAGCUCGGGGAGAAGGCGACGGUGAAGGUGAUCCCGGGCUGCCGGGCACGGGACACCUGCCGCAGCAACAGGACAUCAAGCUCUUCAACCGCGUCUCCUCGACUUCCUGCUGCAGCCUGCUGCUGCUUCCACCUCCAAUGGCAGCGCUGCCGCCAAGUAGCUCGGGUUCUUUUCUUGGUUCUCCACUUGUAUUGUAUCCCGCGUGGCACGAGCUUGCUGUUGUGUUAUUGUGUAUAUAAAAUUCUCUGCAGCUGGGUUUUAUUCCGCCUCUUCGUUUUCUAUCCAGCUGGUUUGGAAAUAGAGACAGUGCACAUUGUUGUGUUUAGCAAGAUGUGAAAUAAAUGAUGAGGCAUUGUUUUUCUUUAAAGUCGGGUAUUUUGGAUUCAUGUCGCAAAUGUUUUUUUCAAUGACAAGAACGGAAUUGUGC